UUGUUAGUUUUUUUUUUUACAAACAACAGUACGUUUUAAGAGCUCCUGGAGUUUAGGACCAAAUCUUUUGGAUCCAGUGCUGUUGAUAUACGUCCUAGAGGAGAGGGAGUUGAGUCCCGAGGGAGUAGGAGUACCUCCAGGGGGAAUAGAAAUAUAUAUAUGGGGAGUAGAAGUUUAUCUAUGGGGCGGGAUGGAACACCAUCCGCUCCCCCCGGUGAAUAUUCGGUGGCCAGAAUUGAUGAAGUAAAUUCUGACGAAGGACUUGAAACUGAAGAUGAAGAUAAUGUAAAUGAUAAUGUAAAUGAUUAUGUAAAUGAUGACACUUAUGAAACAGUUACUCUUGUGGCAGAGGAUUCCCUUGAACAUCCGGAAUAAGAAUUCAAAAUCAUCUUUAUUUAUUAAUGUAUCUUAUCUUUUUAUUCACAUGUUAAAUAUAUAUCAACCUCACCCAA
rnacentral:misc_RNA from 1 species